rnacentral:tRNA from 1 species
CGGCGCGACGGCAGGGGCGCCGGGCCGUCGGCCUCCACCCGCCGGGGGCCGGGCCGGGCCGGGCCUUCCGGUUCGGUCCCGGCGCGCCGG